rnacentral:rRNA from 1 species
UCUUGUCAACCCCGCCUAUAUACCGCCGUCGUCAGCUUACCCUGUGAAGGUCUCAUAGUAAGCUAAAAGGGCAAACCCCCAAACGUCAGGUCGAGGUGUAGCGCAUGAGGUGGGAAGAAAUGGGCUACAUUCUCUAACACAGAGCACACGAACAAUGCUGUGAAACCAGCAUUUUAAGGKGGAUUUAGCAGUAAGCAGAAAAUARAGAGUUCUCUUGAAACUGGCUCUGGGGCGCGCACACACCGCCCGUCACUCUCCCCAAGUCCACUCUCAUAGAUAAUUAAGAAAUCAACCGGACUAAGGGGAGGCAAGUCGUAA